rnacentral:lncRNA from 1 species
AUGGCCGCCCCCAAACCAAUUCCUGGAGAACACUUCCCUCUGAGGCACUGGCCUCUAUUAGAGAGCGGAGUCACAGGUGAGAGCUGCAGAUCGAAAUCCAGAGGAUCUCUGCAGAUUUUAGACUUGGUUCCUGCUCUUCGGCUCAUCCUGAAUUCACUGUAUUGUUCGCCUGCCCCCAGUCCUUGGAACUUUGGUGUCUGCCUUAGCAGCUGCCAGGGCUAUUGGGUGAGAGAGAGAGACAUGGCCUUCUGUAGAACCUCUUUUCUCAGGGCAAUGGCCUUGGGAAGAGGGUUUCCUGAAGACCAGAGAACUGUGCACAGGCUGUGAGAAGAAGCCUGGACUUUCAGAGCCACAGCUCCCAAGCAGCCUUUCCUCGACCUUGUCAAAGCUGGGUCUCUUGGACCCAGAAGUGGAAAUGUCUGCUGUGCAUGAUACUUGAUCUUGAUGUGCUGUGUUUCCUGUAUUAUAGCAUGCAAACCAUUUUGCCUUGUUUUUAUAAACAUUAAAAUGCAAAGCAAGCCUUCUUAGAAUAAAAAUAUAUGAUCUAUAUUUCGAGUAAUAGAA